rnacentral:rRNA from 1 species
CCUACGGGAGACAGCAGUGAGGAAUAUUGGUCAAUGGACGAGAGUCUGAACCAGCCAAGUAGCGUGAAGGAUGACUGCCCUAUGGGUUGUAAACUUCUUUUAUAUGGGAAUAAAACGUUCCACGUGUGGGAUUUUGUAUGUACCAUAUGAAUAAGGAUCGGCUAACUCCGUGCCAGCAGCCGCGGUAAUACGGAGGAUCCGAGCGUUAUCCGGAUUUAUUGGGUUUAAAGGGAGCGUAGGUGGAUUGUUAAGUCAGUUGGGAAAGUUUGCGGCUCAACCGUAAAAUUGCAGUUGAAACUGGCAGUCGUGAGUACAGGAGAGGGGGGCGGAAAUAGUGGUGGUGCGGGGAAAUGCUGAGAUAACACGAAGAACUCCGAUUGCGAAGGCAGUUCACGUGACUGCAAAUGACACUGAGGCUCGAAAGUGUGGGUAUCAAACAGGAUUAGAUACCCGGGUAGUC